GCAGCCAACCUCGGUCUCGCGAAAUUGAGCGAGAUUACGGAAGCCAGAAGGAUUGGUUAAGGUUUUCCGGAGCUAAGGGCCAACUACGGCUCUGAGGCCCUGGAUAUAUAAAGAUGAAAAAAACACCUGGUUCCUGUGUGGCACACAGUUCAAUAGAGGAGUAGAUGUAAGAAGAAGCAAAUAUGGCAUAGUGGAAAGAAAGAGCCCAGGAAAUAGUUGAGAAAGAAAGACUGAACAGACUUACAGUCUCCUAGUCUGGGUGAGAUGAACCACCCACAUGAGAGAAGAUCAGAAGAGGAUGAAGAUCAGAAGAGGAUGCUGCCAAACCUCAAUGGAUUAUCAGCACAGCAGUGAAACAUGAUAUUGCAAGGAUACCAGUUUCCAAAAAUGAGACUAAUUAAAAUAUAAAGUGGACAGCCCUUUUACCUGGAUGUCAUAGUGGCAUAUUUAAGUCCCCCAGCUCAACAACAACCAGGGAAGAGGAAGAGGACAAAGGGAAUGCAAAUAAAAAUGAAUUUUCAUUUUGGUACAUCUCAAUUUGUUUCUUGUUAAACAGGCUAAAAGAAAAUGAUUUUCUGCUCCCUAACUGCUUUUCUAAUCAUCUAGCUUUAGAUUUGUUACUGGAUAAUUUUAAGAUGUGCUCAUUUCUGUGGAGAAAUAAACAUGAAGCCAGCCUAAAAACCUGUGAGAAGCUAAUGUGCUUUGUGUAGGUAAGCAAUUUAAAAACUAAAGUGUAGGUACAUUAUUGAGAGG